rnacentral:rRNA from 1 species
UACGGAGGAUGCAAGCGUUAUCCGGAAUGAUUGGGCGUAAAGCGUCCGCAGGUGGCAAUGUAAGUCUGCUGUUAAAGAGUCUAGCUCAACUAGAUAAAAGCAGUGGAAACUACAUAGCUAGAGUACGUUCGGGGCAGAGGGAAUUCCUGGUGUAGCGGUGAAAUGCGUAGAGAUCAGGAAGAACACCGGUGGCGAAGGCGCUCUGCCAGGCCGUAACUGACACUGAGGGACGAAAGCUAGGGGAGCGAAUGGG